AACAUCGCGCACCUGCGGGAACCUGCGGAAGGAUCAUUACAAGUGACCCCGGUCUAACCACCGGGAUGUUCAUAACCCUUUGUUGUCCGACUCUGUUGCCUCCGGGGCGACCCUGCCUUCGGGCGGGGGCUCCGGGUGGACACUUCAAACUCUUGCGUAACUUUGCAGUCUGAGUAAACUUAAUUAAUAAAUUAAAACUUUCAACAACGGAUCU
rnacentral:misc_RNA from 1 species